GUGACUGUAGCUCAGUUGGUUAGAGCACCGCGUUGUGGUCGCGGGGGUCGGGGGUUCGAAUCCCCUCAGUCACCC
rnacentral:tRNA from 1 species